GGCUGGCCUAAAGGUCGUGAGUGAUCUCAGUUGAUUGUUCAUAGUUAGAACUCAUUCUGUUCUUUCCUCCCUUCCCACUACUGCACUUGACUCGUCUUUA
ensembl:misc_RNA Y_RNA Y RNA